ACUCAAAGGAAUAGACGGGGGCCCGCACAAGCGGUGGAGCAUGGGGAUUAAUUCGUCACUAACCGAAGAACCUUACCAGGGUUUGACAUCCGCCGCAAGGGCGUGAAAACGUUCCCCUCCGGGGCAACCCGGACGGCGAGACAGGUGUUGCAUGGCUGUCGUCAGCUCGUGUCGUGAGAUGUUGGGUUAAGUCCCGCAACGAGCGCAACCCUCACGUGAUGUUGCCAGCGAGAAAGUCGGGCACUCGUCACGAACUGCCCGGGUAACCGGGAGGAAGGUGGGGAUGACGUCAAGUCGGCAUGGCCCUUACAUCCUGGGCUUCACCCAUGCUACAAUGGGCGCGACAGAGGGACGCAAGACCGCGAGGUGGAGCCAAUCCCAAAAAGGCGCUCCCAGUUCGGAUUGCAGGCUGCAACUCGCCUGCAUGAAGUCGGAAUCGCUAGUAACCGCCGGUCAGCCAAACGGCGGUGAAUACGUUCCCGGGCCUUGUACACACCGCCCGU
rnacentral:rRNA from 1 species